AACGAACGCUGACGGCAGGCCUAACACAUGCAAGUCGAACGCCCUAGCAAUAGGGAGUGGCAGACGGGUGAGUAACGCGUGGGAACCUUCCCUGUGGUGCGGAAUAACUCGCCGAAAGGCGUGCUAAUACCGCAUAAGCCCGAAAGGGGAAAGAUUUAUCGCCAUAGGAUGGGCCCGCGUAGGAUUAGCUAGUUGGUGAGGUAAUGGCUCACCAAGGCGACGAUCCUUAGCUGGUGAGAGAAUGACCAGCCACACUGGGACUGAGACACGGCCCAGACUCCUACGGGAGGCAGCAGUGGGGAAUCUUGGACAAUGGGCGCAAGCCUGAUCCAGCCAUGCCGCGUGAGUGACGAAGGCCUUCGGUUGUAAG
rnacentral:rRNA from 1 species